AUUGAACGCUGGCGGCAUGCCUUACACAUGCAAGUCGAACGGCAUCGCGGGAAAGCUUGCUUUCCUGGCGGCGAGUGGCGAACGGGUGAGUAACACAUCUGAACGUACCGGCUAGUGGGGGAUAACCCGUCGAAAGACGGGCUAAUACCGCAUACGCUCUUCGGAGGAAAGCAGGGGACCUUUGGGCCUUGCGCUAGCCGAGCGGCCGAUGUCCGAUUAGCUAGUUGGUGGGGUAAAGGCCUACCAAGGCGACGAUCGGUAGCGGGUCUGAGAGGACGAUCCGCCACACUGGGACUGAGACACGGCCCAGACUCCUACGGGAGGCAGCAGUGGGGAAUCUUGGACAAUGGGGGCAACCCUGAUCCAGCAAUGCCGCGUGGGUGAAGAGGGCCUUCGGGUUGUAAAGCCCUUUCGGCAGGGAAGAAAUCGGCGGGGCGAAUAACCCUGCUGGAUGACGGUACCUGCAGAAGAAGCACCGGCUAACUACGUG
rnacentral:rRNA from 1 species